rnacentral:misc_RNA from 1 species
UCGAAUGUAAACUUGGGAUGUUGCUGACUCACAUUGGGUAAUGUGCACUCCCAUGAUAUUCAAAUCCACCUGUGCACAAUUAAGUAGGCAUGGAUUGAGUUUCGUGCCUAUGUUUUACAUACUCCUAUGUUGUAACAGAUGGCUCUUUAUAAUAUAAUCAAUUA